AACGCUAGCUACAGGCUUAACACAUGCAAGUUGAGGGGCAGCAUGGUCUUAGCUUGCUAAGGCCGAUGGCGACCGGCGCACGGGUGAGUAACACGUAUCCAACCUGCCGUCUACUCUUGGACAGCCUUCUGAAAGGAAGAUUAAUACAAGAUGGCAUCAUGAGUCCGCAUGUUCACAUGAUUAAAGGUAUUCCGGUAGACGAUGGGGAUGCGUUCCAUUAGAUAGUAGGCGGGGUAACGGCCCACCUAGUCUUCGAUGGAUAGGGGUUCUGAGAGGAAGGUCCCCCACAUUGGAACUGAGACACGGUCCAAACUCCUACGGGAGGCAGCAGUGAGGAAUAUUGGUCAAUGGGCGAGAGCCUGAACCAGCCAAGUAGCGUGAAGGAUGACUGCCCUAUGGGUUGUAAACUUCUUUUAUAAAGGAAUAAAGUCGGGUAUGUAUACCCGUUUGCAUGUACUUUAUGAAUAAGGAUCGGCUAACUCUGUGCCAGCAGCCGCGGUAAUACGGAGGAUCCGAGCGUUAUCCGGAUUUAUUGGGUUUAAAGGGAGCGUAGAUGGAUGUUUAAGUCAGUUGUGAAAGUUUGCGGCUCAACCGUAAAAUUGCAGUUGAUACUGGAUAUCUUGAGUGCAGUUGAGGCAGGCGGAAUUCGUGGUGUAGCGGUGAAAUGCUUAGAUAUCACGAAGAACUCCGAUUG
rnacentral:rRNA from 1 species